AGACGAACCGGGCGAACGUUAUUCGGAAUCACUGGGCUUAAAGCGUGCGUAGGCGGCUUGGCAAGUUGGGUGUGAAAGCCCUCGGCUCAACCGAGGAACUGCGCCCAAAACUGCCAGGCUUGAGGGAGAUAGAGGUGAGUGGAACUAAUGGUGGAGCGGUGAAAUGCUUUGAUAUCAUUAGGAACACCGGUGGCGAAAGCGGCUCACUGGGUCUCUUCUGACGCUGAGGCACGAAAGCUAGGGGAGCGAACGGGAUUAGAUACCCUAGUAGUCC
rnacentral:rRNA from 1 species